rnacentral:lncRNA from 1 species
CGAUGCCAUUGGCCGAGCUCCCAGCAUCCUUUGCAGCCUCCGCGUUGGCCGAGUUCCCAGCAUCCUUUGCAGAGAUGCCAUUGGCCAGGCUCCCAGCAUUCUUUGCAGCCUCCAAGUUGGCCGAGCUCCCAGCGGCCUUUGCAGCGAUGCCAUUGGCCGAGCUCCCAGCAUCCUUUGCAGCCUCUGUGUUGGCCGAGCUCCCAGCAUCCUUUGCAGCGAUGCCAUUGGCCGAGCUCCCAGCAUCCUUUGCAGCCUCUGUGUUGGCCGAGCUCCCAGCAUCCUUUGCAGCCUCCAAGUUGGCCGAGCUCCCAGCAUCCUUUGCAGAGAUGCCAUUGGCCGAACUCCCAGAAUCCUUUGCAGCCUCUUGGACAGCCAACAUCCCAGCAUCCUUUGCAGCCUCCGCAUUGGCCGAGCUCCCAGCAUCCUUUGCAUCCUCUUGGACAGCCAAACUCCCAGCAUGCUUUGCAGCCUCUAGGUUGACCGAACUCCCAGAGUCCUUUGCAGCGAAGCUAUCAGCCAGAUUCCCAUCAUCCUUUGCAGCCCCUGAGUUGGUCGAGCUCCCAGCGUCCUUUGCAGUGAUGUUAUUAGUUGGACUCCCAGCAUCCUUUGCAGCCUCUGGGACAGCCAAUAUCCCAGCAUCCUUUGCACCCCCUGAUUUGGCCGAGCUCCCAGUGUCCUUUGCAGCCACAUUGUUGGUCUUGCUCCCAGAGUCCUUUGCAGCCCCUAAGGUGACCGAGCUCCCAGCAUCCUCUGGGGCCUCCAGGACAGCCAACGUCCCAGUGUCCUUUGCAGUCUCUGGGGUGGCCGCAUUCCCAGCAGCCUUUGCGGCUAUACCAUUGGCCGAGCUCCCAGCAUCCUUUGCGGCCAGGGCUUCUCCCUCGGCUGCAGGGGCGGGAGAGCCAUUGGCAGGCGCUUUCCCAGCAUCCUCGGCGGUGGCCACGCUCCCAGCAUCCUUUGCAACAUCUAGGCUGGCCAAGCUCCCAGCAUCCUUUGCAGCUGUGCUGUUGGACGAGCUCCCAGCAUGCUUUGCAGCCCCUGAGUUGACUGAACUCCCAGCAUCUUUUGCAGCUAUGUUUUUGGUUGUGCUCCCAGCAUGCUUUGCAGCGUUCAAGUUGACCGAGCUCCCAGUAUGCUUUGCAGCCCCAGGGUUGGCCAAACUCCCAGUGUCCUUUGCAGUGAUGCCAUCAGUCAAACUCCCAGCAUGCUUUGCAGCCCUGGACUUGGCUGAAUUCCCAGCAUCCUUUGCAGCGAUGCUAUCAGUCAAACUCCCAGUGUCCUUUGCAGCUCCAGACUUGGCCAAGCUCCCAGCGUCCUUUGCAGCGAUGUUAUCAGUCAAAUUCCCAGCAUGCUUUGCAGCCCCAGACUUGGCUGAAUUCCCAGCAUCCUUUGCAACGAUGCCAUCAGUGAAACUCCCAGCGUCCUUUGCAGCCCCAGGGUUGGCCGAACUCCCAGCAUCCUUCGCAGCGACGCCGGUCGCCGACACCUCUGGGGGGGCUGCCGGGGGCUGGGGGGCGCCGGGGGGCACCAGGGGGGCACCAGGGGGGGCGCCCGCCCCCCCGUCCAGGACCCCCCGCAGCUGCCACAGGUAGGUGAUGACGCUGAGGCGGUCGGGCCCCCCCGGCAGCGCCAUGUC